CAUCGACGAUGACGCAAUCACGUGACCCUGACUCGAAUUCUUACUAUUGGUCAGCUGGUCGGCUGAUAGUUGUACCGUUAUGUGCCCAAAACCGUAAUCGCUGUGUUAAUUCACGUAAUAAUAGUUACGUAAUAAUAGCUGCAUACCAUCUGUGCGCAAAAAAUAGACGUCUAGUCUAGUUUCCGUAUUUAUCCAUCUAUAAAUAGCGUGCACACGUGCCGGAUCUUUACAACGCUAUAACUCGGCGAAAACUGGACGUGGAGACAUGCGACAAAAACGGAUCUUCUGUGUUUCGCGUCCUCUAGAUGCUUAUGUCCAGUGUCUGCAACCACGGCACGGUUGCGGUGUUCCGAGUGACUAUACGAGUGGCAUGCGUGACAUUCCGCGAAGGCAAGAAAUGGUUAAAUCUAACUUACAGACGCCGCGGAAGUCUGCACUAUCCUGUCGGAUUCUGUCUACGAUGGCACGGAAAUUAUGCCGGCGGCGCGUUCUCACAGAGCUUCUCGUCCGCCGAUUUCGAUGCUCCAAGAUUGAUCCCCGAAUUUCAAGCGGUUCCGAUAAAGGGUGCAACGCGCGCCGGACUGCGAAGGACCGCAAGGACGAGUAAAAGGUCGUGUCCUGGAACGGUGUCACACGACGGGGUGAACGUCAGUAAGAAACAGCAUUUAAAGAUACACCGGAAACAAUCUUGAACGGUCGCAUUUUUUACCGCGCACAACUUGGCGCGAACAUAGCGCAUUGGAAUCACGCGAACGUUAGCCGGAGGACGCCAUACAAUGAUCUCCUCGGUAAGAAGUAUUCGAUACCACCGAGAGGAAUGGUACUUAAAGACAGCCUACAGUUAGGUAACAUGUGGCGAAGUGACCAUCUGUCUAGGAAGCGAACGCCGACGGGAGUUGUUGCGAAGAGGACCGAGGAGGAACAACGACAUCUAUUGCCUCGCGCUCCUCUCUUUGCCUUCUUUUACGUGCGAGAAACGAGAUAAGCCAUUAUGCGCGGUUGACUUUGAAGGCGUAUGCCCACUUUGCUGCCGUCGCAUACAAUGCGAAGUGUCUCAUAGUGAUUGACGGAACCACUGUUACGCCUGGCCACUCGACGAUUGCAUGCGAAACAUUGCAUCGGUUGUACAAAUCUGAAAUGUAGAUGAAAUCCGGGUGGGUUCAGGCGAAACGUCGGAUUUAGUUCCCAAGCGAAAGAUUGAUUGCCAGGUUUUCAGCCGUGUUGCUCCAGUACAUUUUGCAACGAAGUACUCGACCUAAGACGUUGCGCUACGCGGUGACUAGAGCCGAGG